rnacentral:rRNA from 1 species
UACAGAGGGGGCAAGCGUUGUUCGGAAUUACUGGGCGUAAAGAGCUCGUAGGCGGGACCGUAAGUCCGAGAGGAAAUCUCAAGGCUCAACUUUGGGGCUUUCUUGGAUACUGCGGUUCUUGAGGAUGAGAGAGGUAAGUAGAAUUCCCGGUGUAGCGGUGAAAUGCGUAGAUAUCGGGAGGAAUACCAGUGGCGAAGGCGGCUUACUGGCUCAUUCCUGACGCUGAGGAGCGAAAGCGUGGGGAGCAAACGGG